rnacentral:lncRNA from 1 species
CCCCGACCAGCAGCGAUCAGAGGGUUGUAGAAAAUGGGUAUGACAAUGGGUUUUGGCCCGUUUUGGCCGUCUUCCCGAGCCCGGAUGCUCGGCCCGCUUUGAGGAAAGUCGAUCCUCGCGUCGAGCCCGUCGUUUUGAGUGAGUUUUACUCACUAAUGCCUUCUUAGUGCGCUAAUUAUACUUAAAGGUUGAUUAGUGGUAAUUAAGUGUAAUUAGGUUGUUAGAUUAGAAUUGAUUAGUGAUUAUUAGUUAAUUGCUUUGCAUAUUAGUUGUGUGAUUAGUGUAUUUAGAUAGAGAAUUGCAUGUAGUAUUUAUUGGAUGCUUCUUGGGAUUUUUCCCGUCCCUUAUCAGGUGUUAAUUAAGCAAAUCGGGCAUAGGUGGAAUUUUUAGGAAUUAAAUAUUAAUUUUCGAAAUUAAUUAUUUAAUUAUUUAUUUUCCGGAAAUUCAACUGGGAUGGCCAGUGACCGGGAUUUUAUGCUGAUGAUCAUGGCGCAGUCCGUUUAUUUAAUUGAGCUUUAUGUUGUGCUAAAUUGAAUUUAUUGUAUUUAUUUAUUUAAUUUUCGAAAUUAAUAAAUUAAUUAAUUAUUUUUCGGAAAUUAAGAUUUUGAUGGCCGACGACCGAAAUCUCGUGCUAAUUGUCGUGGCGCAGUCCGUUUAUUUAUUUGAGCUCUACGUUGUAUGGAAUUGAAUAAAUUGUGAUAUUUUAGGGAUUUACCCUAAUUUGAUUGGAAUUGAAUUGAGAUAUGAAUUGGUUUAUAUAUAUGUAUCAGCUUGGGCGAGCAAUUAUGAUAUACACAUAUACAUAUAUAUAUAUGGCAGCUUCUGGUGAGCUAAGAUCGUUUUAUCAGCUUGUGCGAGCACGAUCUAUAUAUAUAUCAGCUUGUGAGAGCAAUGAUCGUUUAUCAGCUUGUGAGAGCAACGAUCCAUAUAUCAGCUUGUGCGAGCUAUCAUCUAUGUAUAUAUCAGCUUGUGCGAGCUACCAUCUAUAUCAGCUUGUGAGAGCAUUGCAUCCAUUUCAGCUUGUGCGAGCCAUAAUUGUAUUGAUGGAUGAAUAGAUGGUAUGGUUUAAUAGAUGAUAUGAAUUGAUAGAUAUGUGGAUCGUAUGAUAUCAAUUGGAUUGACUGAAUUGAUAGACCGAUGGGUAUGUCGGUAGAUUCAGCUUGUGCGAGCAUUGUUUGAAUAUUGAAUUGUUUACGUUGGCUCUGUGAUCAGUGUGUGCGAGCAUUGUUUGAAUAUUGAAUUGUUUACGUUGGCUCUGUGAUCAGUGUAUCACCUUGGCAAAUCGACACCCGAGAGCAUUGAUGGAGCUCUGUGACUAAGUGCGGGCAUCUAAAAGGGCACGUGGGCUCGGUGACUUGAUGUAUCACUUUGGCGAAGAGGUCGCCUGAGAGAAUGCACGUGGGCCCAAGGUUCGAGGCACGUGGACUCGGAGACUUGGAAUGUCGUCCUAGAGAAUGCACGUGGCCUCGCUUUUAGAUACUCCUCCGUGGAGAGUGAUUUGUAUGACAUGUAAUCGACUAGGUCGAUGCUUUGAUUUGAUGUUGUGAAUUGGUUGAUUGAUUGGAAAUGACCGUGAGUGGUCUUGUUGGCAUGUAAUCGACUAAGUUGAUUAGAUCGAUGCUUCGAUCUGUGAUGUGAUUGCUUGUGUGCCUAUUUGAUCUGUACUAAUAUGCAGGUGGAAUCUGAGGCUAAGGUAAGUCCUUUGACUCAUGUUGUGCAUAGGCAGCCCUAAGGUGUAUUAGUUUACUAAUCGGGUCUUAGGAGGUAGAACUUGCUGAGACGUGGUCUCAGUGGUUAUUGAAUAACCAUUUCAGGACCUGGAUGAGGAGCCUAAGGAGCAUGAAUCUGACGAGGAGAUCCUUGUUGAGGAACCCGAAGAGGAGUACGUGGAGGAGGACCCCGAGUAUGACAUCGAGUACGACCCGAAUGAGGACCGAAAUCCUAUCCUGUCUUGUCAGACCUUGUUUGCAUGUAAAAA